rnacentral:rRNA from 1 species
UGGGGAAUUUUGGACAAUGGGGGAAACCCUGAUCCAGCCAUCCCGCGUGUGCGAUGAAGGCCUUCGGGUUGUAAAGCACUUUUGGCAGGAAAGAAACGUCGCGGGUUAAUACCCCGCGAAACUGACGGUACCUGCAGAAUAAGCACCGGCUAACUACGUGCCAGCAGCCGCGGUAAUACGUAGGGUGCAAGCGUUAAUCGGAAUUACUGGGCGUAAAGCGUGCGCAGGCGGUUCGGAAAGAAAGAUGUGAAAUCCCAGAGCUUAACUUUGGAACUGCAUUUUUAACUACCGGGCUAGAGUGUGUCAGAGGGAGGUGGAAUUCCGCGUGUAGCAGUGAAAUGCGUAGAUAUGCGGAGGAACACCGAUGGCGAAGGCAGCCUCCUGGGAUAACACUGACGCUCAUGCACGAAAGCGUGGGGAGCAAACAGGAUUAGAUACCCUGGUAGUCCACGCCCUAAACGAUGUCAACUAGCUGUUGGGGCCUUCGGGCCUUGGUAGCGCAGCUAACGCGUGAAGUUGACCGCCUGGGGAGUACGGUCGCAAGNUUAAAACUCAAAGGAAUUGACGGGGUCGAU